CGCUAUUAUUGAUACAGUUUCUGUACUAUAUUG
rnacentral:misc_RNA from 2 species